GAACAGAACGCCCUUUUAUUCGGCGUUUUGAAUAAUUAAACGGCGUUUUUUACGCCAUUUCUUAACCAAACGGGUUAGAAAAGUGGCGAUUUUUGGCACUAAUGGCUUGCCAUACUAAUGGCUUGCCAUAUCGCGAAAACGCCAAAACGCGUGAAACGCGUGUCAGUGUAGCGCGUUUGAUUCGCGAAAAAAAACCACGCGCGUGAGUUUUUGUGUUGCAUUUUGUGCAUACACGCGUUUCGCGUCUACCGCUCAGUUGGAAAAAUCUGAACUCCAGUGUCAAAUCGCACCCCGACAACCAAUCAGGAGCCUGGUGACGUGCUCUGACCUAGGUCAAAGGGGCAGAUCCAGCCAAAGCCCUUCAUUCUUCAAUGGAGGGAAGGCUAAUCAACGCAGUAGCAAACCACCCGGAGCUGUACGACACCAGCUGCUUUCUGUACCGAGACAGGAAUAUAAAGGACCGAGCUUGGAGGAAGAUAUGUGAAGAGACGGGCAACCUGAACCAACUGAUUCUGCAGCAGAGCAUCCCCAGUCCCUGAGCUGCUGCUGCUGCACCACAGGCCCACAAAGGAGGACGGCUCCAAGGCAGAUGAGGGACGUUGUUCCAGAUCUACUGGCGUUUAGAUCAACUGGCGUUGGUCGAACAGAUGUGUGGCAAACGGCAGUUGAUCUAAACGCCAGUAGAUCUAAACGCCAGUAGAUCUAAACGCCAGUAGAUCUGGAACAACGGUCCCAGGACGGUCCAUCGGCGGUGGAGCUGGCCAUCCUGGAGUCCCUGAAGAGGCCACACCAGUCUCCAAUGGAGCAUUUCCUCCUCAGCCUUGUUCCUGCUCUUGAGAGCAGCUGGUCCUUUUUAUUCCUGUCUCUCUGUAAAUUCUUAUAUUUUAUGUUUAAUGUUUUUCUGUGUGAGAAUUUUAAUAUUAUUUCAAAUAAAUUUUUAUAAUGACUAAUGUCUCAGUUCUACUACACGUAUGUCCUACUACACACGACUUGAC
ensembl:lncRNA